UACGAAGGGGGCUAGCGUUGCUCGGAAUGACUGGGCGUAAAGGGCGCGUAGGCGGUCCGGUAAGUCCGCUCUGAAAGUCCGGGGCUCAACCCCGGGAGGCGGGCGGAUACUGUCGGGCUAGAGUCCGGAAGAGGCGAGUGGAAUUCCUGGUGUAGCGGUGAAAUGCGCAGAUAUCAGGAGGAACACCAAUGGCGAAGGCAGCUCGCUGGGACGGUACUGACGCUGAGGCGCGAAAGCGUGGGGAGCAAACAGG
rnacentral:rRNA from 1 species